rnacentral:rRNA from 1 species
AACGAACGCUGGCGGCAUGCCUAACACAUGCAAGUCGAACGAGACCUUCGGGUCUAGUGGCGCACGGGUGCGUAACGCGUGGGAACCUGCCCUUAGGUUCGGAAUAACUCCCCGAAAGGGGUGCUAAUACCGGAUAAUGUCUUCGGACCAAAGAUUUAUCGCCCUUGGAUGGGCCCGCGUUGGAUUAGCUAGUUGGUAGGGUAAAAGCCUACCAAGGCGACGAUCCAUAGCUGGUCUGAGAGGAUGAUCAGCGACACUGGGACUGAGACACGGCCCAGACUCCUACGGGAGGCAGCAGUGGGGAAUAUUGGACAAUGGGCGAAAGCCUGAUCCAGCAAUGCCGCGUGAGUGAUGAAGGCGUUAGGGUUGUAAAGCUCUUUUACCCGGGAUGAUAAUGACAGUACCGGGAGAAUAAGCACCGGCUAACUCCGUG